UACGGAGGGUGCAAGCGUUAUCCGGAUUCACUGGGUUUAAAGGGAGCGUAGGUGGCUUUGUAAGUCAGUGGUGAAAUCUUAGAGCUUAACUCUAAAACUGCCAUUGAUACUGCUUAGCUUGAAUCACGUCGAGGUGGAUGGAAUAUUACAUGUAACGGUGAAAUGCUUAGAUAUGUAAUAGAACACCGAUUGCGAAGGCAGUUCACUAGGCGUGUAUUGACACUGAGGCUCGAAAGCGUGGGGAUCAAACAGG
rnacentral:rRNA from 1 species